UACUUGCAACACAGAAAUCCGAAGUAAAUAACCAAAGAGAAGAGACGAUAGCACAGGCGUUCAUUUCCCUUUUUCUCUGGGAUGCAUUCUCGUACUUUGGCAACUAUUCCACAAAGAUAAUGUCGACCGAUUAACUUUCUUGGGAUGGAGAUUGAGGAAUACGAAGCUGGGACGAAAUGGUGUACUCGGCGAAAGGAUAUUAGAGAAAAAACACUCCCCACGUGUAAGAUAUCAUUCAAAACUGGCUAUAAAAGCCCGUAGAGAGCUUGGUUCGUAGUUUUCGUUGGCUGGUUCAUCUUUCUUAUGGACACCGAGGAUGAAUUCACUGAGGUAUUCAUUGAGUUCUUUCGCAGGAAUCUUUUCUAUAGCACUAGGAGUGCCACAUCGUUCUGUCUUUUUUUCUAGUGUUUUCGUUUUCCUGGCUCUCAAUAAACUCAGUGAUUGAGUCCAUUUGAACAAAUCUUGAGCAACAACCUUCCAUGUUUAAGAACUUUUGGCAACAAACACUCAAAAGCAAGCUGACACUUUCUGCAUGAAGCAAAAUAAUGCAGUACUCUCAGGUUCAGUACACUAGAUCCUACUGUCGACUGCAGGCUAGUACCUUUCUUUGGCAAAUUAGUCAAACAUAACUUCAUUAAAUACUAAAGCAAUA